AAAAAAACAACAAAAGAACAAAACAUUAUAUACAUAUAUGUAUCUAUUAUGCAGUUGUUGAGUCCACCCUCCUCAGUGACCAUGACUUUUUAACAAAUGAAGCAGCAUACUGCAUAAUUGACGGACAAGAAAGACAUAAAACCAAUUUAUCCAAAUUAUCCAUAUUAUCUAUAUCGGAAUAGAUAUUUCUAACUUUCUGCAAAAAUUCAAAUCUCAAAUCUUUAUUUUUUGUACAUGUAAAU
rnacentral:lncRNA from 1 species